CACAGAAAAAUAGAAACACAGACACACAAACAAACACACACCACGUGAGGUUUGGGUGGCGGAGUGCUGCAUCUGCACACAGGCCUUCUCGCAGCCCUGUUAGAGGCUACCUGGAGUAGCUUUGUCUGUAGAGUGAUGGCCAGAAGAGCGAGGGAUGCAUCACCGAUAAGUGGAGUCUUGUACACAGGUCCGGACGGUAUCACUGAUUACAGACCACAUGUUGCUGAUAGCAGAGUCAACUCCGUUGUAAACUUCAUCACUACGGGAAAUCAUAACACAGCCUUUACCAAACACCACGUUGGAUCGAUCGGGUGGGGUGUGGAAAACCUGGCGUGGAUCAAUCACUCAGCCCUUUCCUCCGGACACCAGAUCAAGAGGGGCCCAUUCCUUCAGGCUGCUGAGGACUCUCACAGCCACAACCACCAGCACCCGUGGCAGCCCCACCCAGUGCUGCUGAGCGGAAGAAUGCAGCGUGCAUUCAUGGCCUGGGAUCGACGCUGCUGAGGGGCGACCCUCAACCCACACAGCCACCCUUUAACUCAACCACUCAGUCACUCACUCAACUACUCACCCACUUAGUCACUCAAUUACUCACCCGACUCAUUCAAUUAACCGCUCACUCACCUACUCAUUCAACCACUUAAUCAACCACUCACUCACUCCCCCACUCACACACCCACUCUAGUAAUGAAUAUGAUUAAGUGAGUAUGCAUAAAAUUAUCAAAAGUUCUCAUUAUUGUCUCUCUCAUUCUCUAGGGGUAUGUAUUAUCAAUCGUGAUAAUAUCAAUGAAUCACACUUUGCCAAAUUAUGUGUAAUUUUGUCAGGUCUCAGGAUUCAGAUCUCACAACAGGAUACAGUUCUCCUAAUUGAGAUAAAAUGAUGCACAAUUUAGGAAAGAAGCACUCGGAUCCUUCUUGUUAUAAGCAACUUUAAUAUCAACUUACAUUGACAUCCACAAAUAAUAUAAUUAGAGUAGAACUACACAGUACCGAUACGAAUAUACGUACUCAUCACUUCGUACUAAUUGGUUAGAAGCAUUAACGGCUGCAUCACAAGACUAUGCGAUGAGAAGAAAAACAAACAGGCUACCGCCUCAAACAACGGUGUUCAUGCCAUGCAUUCGCAUUCAUAAUGUAAUUAACAAAAACAAGGGAGGGGGGUUAGAAAAGCGUCAACGAUCGAAUUGCAAGAUUAUGCAAUUAAAA